UACGUAGGGUGCGAGCGUUGUCCGGAUUUAUUGGGCGUAAAGGGCUCGUAGGCGGCGUGUCGCGUCGGGAGUGAAAGCCCGUUGCUUAACAGCGGGUUGGCUUUCGGUACGGGCAUGCUGGAGUGCGGCAGGGGAGACUGGAAUUCCUGGUGUAGCGGUGGAAUGCGCAGAUAUCAGGAGGAACACCGGUGGCGAAGGCGGGUCUCUGGGCCGUUACUGACGCUGAGGAGCGAAAGCGUGGGGAGCGAACAGG
rnacentral:rRNA from 1 species